rnacentral:rRNA from 1 species
GACGAACGCUGGCGGCGUGCUUAACACAUGCAAGUCGAACGGUAAGGCCCUUCGGGGUACACGAGUGGCGAACGGGUGAGUAACACGUGGGUGAUCUGCCCUGCACUUCGGGAUAAGCCUGGGAAACUGGGUCUAAUACCGGAUAGGACUCCUGGCUUCAUGGUUGGGGGUGGAAAGCUUUUGCGGUGUGGGAUGGGCCCGCGGCCUAUCAGCUUGUUGGUGGGGUAAUGGCCUACCAAGGCGACGACGGGUAGCCGGCCUGGGAGGGUGGCCGGUGACACUGGGACUGGGAGACGGCCCAGACUCCUACGGGAGGCAGCAGUGGGGAAUAUUGCACAAUGGGCGCAAGCCUGAUGCAGCGACGCCGCGUGAGGGAUGACGGCCUUCGGGUUGUAAACCUCUUUCAGCACCGACGAAGCGCAAGUGACGGUAGGUGCAGAAGAAGGACCGGCCAACUACGUGCCAGCCGCCGCAGUAA